GACGAACGCUGGCGGCGUGCUUAACACAUGCAAGUCGAACGGAAAGGCCCUGCUUUUGUGGGGUGCUCGAGUGGCGAACGGGUGAGUAACACGUGAGUAACCUGCCCUUGACUUUGGGAUAACUUCAGGAAACUGGGGCUAAUACCGGAUAGGAGCUCCUGCUGCAUGGUGGGGGUUGGAAAGUUUCGGCGGUUGGGGAUGGACUCGCGGCUUAUCAGCUUGUUGGUGGGGUAGUGGCUUACCAAGGCUUUGACGGGUAGCCGGCCUGAGAGGGUGACCGGCCACAUUGGGACUGAGAUACGGCCCAGACUCCUACGGGAGGCAGCAGGGGGGAAUAUUGCACAAUGGGCGGAAGCCUGAUGCAGAAACGCCGCGUGCGGGAUGACGGCCUUCGGGUUGUAAAACGCUUUAGCCUGUGACGAAGCGUGAGUGACGGUAAUGGGUAAAGAAGCACCGGCUAACUACGUG
rnacentral:rRNA from 1 species